UACGUAGGGGUGCGAGCGUUGUCCGGAAUUACUGGGCGUAAAGAGCUCGUAGGUGGUUUGUCGCGUUGUUCGUGAAAACUCACAGCUCAACUGUGGGCGUGCGGGCGAUACGGGCAGACUAGAGUACUGCAGGGGAGACUGGAAUUCCUGGUGUAGCGGUGGAAUGCGCAGAUAUCAGGAGGAACACCGGUGGCGAAGGCGGUUCUCUGGGCAUGUCCUGACGCUGAGGAGCGAAAGUGUGGGGAGCGAACAGG
rnacentral:rRNA from 1 species